CCUACGGGGGGCAGCAGUGGGGAAUAUUGCACAAUGGGGGAAACCCUGAUGCAGCGACGCCGCGUGAGUGAAGAAGUAAUUCGUUAUGUAAAGCUCUAUCAGCAGGGAAGAAAAUGACGGUACCUGAGUAAGAAGCCCCGGCUAACUACGUGCCAGCAGCCGCGGUAAUACGUAGGGGGCAAGAGUUAUCCGGAUUUACUGGGUGGAAAGGGAGCGUAGACGGCAGUGCAAGUCUGGAGUGAAAGGCGGGGGCUCAACCCCCGGACUGCUCUGGAUACUGUACGGCUGGAGUGCAGGAGAGGUAAGUGGAAUUCCUAGUGUAGCGGUGAAAUGCGUAGAUAUUAGGAGGAACACCAGUGGCGAAGGCGGCUUACUGGACUGUAACUGACGUUGAGGCUCGAAAGCGUGGGGAGCAAACAGGAUUAGAUACCCUUGUAGUC
rnacentral:rRNA from 1 species